rnacentral:rRNA from 1 species
GACGAACGCUGGCGGCGUGCUUAACACAUGCAAGUCGAACGGUGAAAUCAGAUCUUGCUCUUCUGGAUCAGUUGCGAACUGGUAAGUAACACUUGAGUACCCUGCCCCAGACUCUGGAAUAAGCUCUUGAAACGUCGUCUCAUACCGGAUACGAUACAUAGCUUCAUGGCUACUGUCUGUAAAGUUAUUCGGUCUGUGAUGGACUCGCGGCCUAUCAGCUUGUUGGUGAGGUAACGUCUGACCAAGGCAACGACGGGUAGCCGGCCUGAGAGGGGGAUCGGCCACACUGGGGCUGAGACACGGCCGCGCCGACUCCGGGAGGAAGCAGUGGGGAAUAUUGCACAAUGGGCGAAAGAAUGAUGAAGCGACGCCGCGUGGGGGAUGACGGAGUUCGGGUUGUAAAAAUCUUUCAGUAGCGAAGAAGAGAAAGAGAGUAUAGCUGCAGAAGACGCCGGGGAUAACUAUG